UACGGAGGGAGCUAGCGUUGUUCGGAAUUACUGGGCGUAAAGCGCACGUAGGCGGCUUUGUAAGUUAGAGGUGAAAGCCCGGGGCUCAACCCCGGAAUUGCCUUUAAGACUGCAUCGCUUGAAUCCGGGAGAGGUGAGUGGAAUUCCGAGUGUAGAGGUGAAAUUCGUAGAUAUUCGGAAGAACACCAGUGGCGAAGGCGGCUCACUGGACCGGGUAUUGACGCCUGAGGUGCGAAAGCGUGGGGAGCAAACAGG
rnacentral:rRNA from 1 species